CUAAAAAUCUAGCCCUUCCCCCACUCCCCACCCAUAAUCAAAACCCAAAACAAAAUAUUUUAUCUGUUUAGUAAAGAAGAUUAAAAAACUUUUAAGAGCUUUAUUCUAGUACCGCAAGGGAAAAAUGAAAUAAAAUGAAAAUCUUAAAGCAUAAAAUAGUAGAGACUUAACCUCGUACCUUUUGCAUCAUGGUUUAGCUAGUCUAACCAGGCAAAAUGAACCUUUUAAGUCUGACUUCCCGAAACUAAGUGAGCUAUUUUAGGGCCGCUAAACGAGCCAACCCUUCUAUGUUGCAAAAUAGUGGGAAGACCCUAAAAUAGAGGUGAUAAGCCUAACGAACUUGGUUAUAGCUGGUUUCUCAAAAAAAGAAUUUUAGUCCAACCUAAAGCAAUGUAAAUUCAAAUAAAUUUCACCCAUCCUUUAGAGCAAUUCAAAUAAGGUACAGCCUAUUUGAUACAGGAUUCAACCUUCACCCACGGGUAAUAUUUUAUUAUAUUUACAAGUAGGCCUAAUAGCNGCCACCUUUUAAAAAGCGUCAAAGCUUUACCACUUUAAAUCUAACUCCCCAUAUACGCCCCUNAAAGCCAACUGAGAACUUCUAUAAACUUAUAGAAAUUUUUAUGCUAAAACCAGUAACAAGAGUUUAAUAUCCUCUCUUUAAUGUCCACAUAUGUCGGAAAAANUCCAUCUGACAAUUAACAAACAUAAAUNNCAGUAGUAACUUUUACCAGGAAAAUCCUACUAUUAUAAUUGUUAACCUAACACAAGCACAUUUCAAGAAAGACUAAAAGAAAGAGAAGGAACUCGGCAAACAUUAAUCCCGCCUGUUUACCAAAAACAUCGCCUCUUGAACCCAUAAGAGGUCCCGCCUGCCCAGUGACUCUGUUCAACGGCCACGGUAUUCUAACCGCGCAAAGGUAGCGUAAUCACUUGUUUUCUAAAUAAAGACUAGUAUGAAAGGCAUCACGAGGAUUAAACUGUCUCCUCUCCCUAUUCAGUGAACCUAUUCUCCCCGUGAAGAAACGGGGAUGUAAAAAUAAGACGAGAAGACCCUAUGGAGCUUUAAACAUCAUAACACCUGCUUUAAUUCCCUCACCAAGGUUACCCACCACAGCACAGUGAUUACAUGUUUUUGGUUGGGGUGACCGCAGAGUAAAAACAACCCUCCACGAUGAAAGCUUCCCUAAACAAUAAGCCACAACUUUAUGUAUUAACAAAUUAACAUUCAUUGACCCAAUUUAUUGAUUAACGAACCAAGUUACCCUAGGGAUAACAGCGCAAUCCACUUCGAGAGCCCAUAUCGACAAGUGGGCUUACGACCUCGAUGUUGGAUCGGGAUACCCAAGUGGUGCAGCCGCUACUAAAGGUUCGUUUGUUCAACGAUUAAAACCCCACGUGAUCUGAGUUCAGACCGGAGUAAUCCAGGUCAGUUUCUAUCUAUUAUAUAGCUUCUUUUAGUACGAAAGGACCCAAAAAGCAUGGUCAAUACCCAAAGCAAACCAUAAUUCUUAAUUUUAGACCUCAACUCAAAAAAUUAUUAACUUAUUCUCCCCAUCAAGAAAAGAAUA
rnacentral:rRNA from 1 species